rnacentral:lncRNA from 1 species
AGGUAGUUUGCUCAUUGAGGUACUGAGCCCCCUCUGCUAUAAUAUCUGGCCUGACCAGUAGGCAGUAUUCAGUAACUGGAGUAACAUGCUUUGCAUUUCUUGGUCAGAUGGGGAAGUUCGAGUCACAGUUAGGGGUGAGCAGUAUUCAGUUCAAACCGAAAAAAUCGACCGAACCAAACCGAUUUGAAAAUUUGGUUCAGUUUUUU